rnacentral:lncRNA from 10 species
UAGAAUAGCACAAAUCCAGGCUCAAGAUAGUGAGAUGGUGAUGACAGGGUGAAGUCCAGGGUGCCCUCCAAGAGCAAGUGACAAUGAACCCGGGAAGCAUAACACACAGGCAUGCCCAUGUGCACAUACGCCACACACAUACAUGCACAUGCACACACAACAUCUACACAUAUGAUGCACAUGCAAACACAGCAGAGACAUGCACAUACACACAUGCACACACCACAAGCACAGGCAUGCACACACAUGAGUGCACAUAGAAAUACGUGUAUGCACAUAACAUGCACACGAACACGUACCUAUAACAUGCAUCCAUAUGCAGUGUGCACAAUAUAUCCAUGCACACACAACAUAUAUAUGUGCUACCCAUAACACAUGAAUGUGAUGUGACAAAAAGGUGCAUGACACACA